AUUGAACGCUGGCGGCAGGCCUAACACAUGCAAGUCGAGCGGAGCGGCGGACGGGGGAGUAAGGCCUAGGAAUCGGACUGGGAGUGGGGGAUAAAGUCCGGAAACGGGCGCUAAUACCGCAUAAUAUCAGAUGAGCCAAGGUCGGAUUAGCUAGUUGGUGGGGUAAAGGCCUACCAAGGCGACGAUCCGUAACUGGUCUGAGAGGAUGAUCAGUCACCCUGGAACUGAGACACGGUCCAGACUCCUACGGGAGGCAGCAGUGGGGAAUAUUGGACAAUGGGCGAAAGCCUGAUCCAGCCAUGCCGCGUGUGUGAAGAAGGUCUUCGGAUUGUAAAGCACUUUAAGUUGGGAGGCGUUACCAACAGAAUAAGCACCGGCUAACUUCGUGCCAGCAGCCGCGGUAAUUC
rnacentral:rRNA from 1 species